GAUAGGGGCCAUGGAAGUCGCCUUGUCCUCGCAACGAUUGGUCUCCGCCGACUCUCCCCAAAUGCUCUCCAUCUCUCCCAGAUCGCAGGGCAGCGGCAGGUGGGCACCGAAGAGAGCGGCUUUCGGCCGGCCCCCGGUGGCCUCCUCCUCGAGGUCUUGUUCCCUCGGCAGCAGCCUCGUUUCCUCUCCUUUUGUCUGCGGUAGCGUUCACGGCGACUUCAAUGGGCUUAAGAUUAGGCUUCCGUCGCUGAAGCUGCCGGUCGUAUCCACUGGCCGCCGACCCACAAGGGGUGUCGUUACCAUGGUUAUUCCUUUCUUGAGAGGAAAUGCUUGGGAGCAACCACCUCCUGAUCUCGCUUCUUACUUGUACAAAAAUCGAAUUGUAUAUUUGGGCAUGUCUCUUGUUCCAUCAGUGACGGAGUUGAUGAUGGCAGAAUUUCUUUACCUUCAAUAUGAAGAUGUAGAAAAGCCGAUUUACCUAUACAUAAAUUCCACUGGAACAACAAAGGGUGGGGAGAAAUUGGGCUAUGAGACAGAGGCUUUUGCAAUUUACGAUGUCAUGAGUUAUGUGAAACCACCAAUCUUCACACUCUGUGUUGGCAAUGCUUGGGGAGAAGCUGCACUACUCUUGGCUGCUGGUUCUAAAGGAAACCGUGCUGCUCUACCGUCAUCAACAAUAAUGAUAAAGCAGCCUAUUGCAAGAUUUCAAGGUCAAGCUACAGAUGUUGAACUUGCAAGAAAAGAAAUAAGAAAUGUGAAGGCUGAAUUGGUUGGCUUAUACUCGAAGCAUAUAGGAAAAUCUCGUGAGCAAAUCGAGGAAGAUAUCAGACGUCCGAAAUAUUUCAGUCCUAGUGAAGCAGUUGAAUAUGGUAUCAUUGAUAAGGUAUUGUACAAUGAAAGAGGACGCGAAGAUCGGAGUGUUGUUUCAGAUCUUAAAAAAGCUCAACUUAUAUAGACUGCUGAAUCUAAGACUUGCGACAAAGAAUUUUAAGAAUGUAUUAUGUGAUUAUAUUUACAGAUGCAAGCUGCAUUUUGUUUUAUGUCGGUACAAGUCCGAUGUGGUGGUGGUGGCAAUCAGCAGCAAUCGGAGAGCAAGUAACGGUCCUCACAUGUGCCUCUCGUUUGAUCAGCACGAACAACGGUCUCAUCCUUUCAUUUUUGUUGAUUUUUAGGCCUCAACGAGUAAUAAUUUUUGUUUUUGCUCUAUAUCUGUUCUAUAUGACUUGCGACACAUUGCAGGAAAAAUUCAGCUAUUUUUUUA